rnacentral:rRNA from 1 species
AGAGUUUGAUCAUGGCUCAGGACGAACGCUGGCGGCGUGCUUAACACAUGCAAGUCGAGCGAUGAAGUUCCUUCGGGAACGGAUUAGCGGCGGACGGGUGAGUAACACGUGGGUAACCUGCCUCAUAGAGGGGAAUAGCCUUUCGAAAGGAAGAUUAAUACCGCAUAAGAUUGUAGUAUCGCAUGAUACAGCAAUUAAAG